CGGCGUUGUCGCUUUCACGACGGGAGGAAGACUCUCGCACCAUUUUCGGCGGGUCGUCGUCGGCAUUUGCUGGACUUUGCACCGUAGCGUAUAACAAGCGAUGUUGGUCAGUCAAAUAUUCAUAGUAGGGCGACGGCUGAUAAAGGUGGCACGAGUCGCGGGGCAUCGUGUAUAACGAAGCGACGCGGUCCGUGUCAAUUUACACAAGCACAACAGUAAAAACAAAGAAAACAACAUCGGAAGACAAUAGUUGAUUCUUAUAAUAUGAGAUAUUUUCCAAAAUUCGAACAAUGUUAUACGUAUGUAACAAUGGGCCCUUCUGUCGUCGGUAAUAUCGGUAAUGAGCACACUCGCCGCAAUCCAAGAAAAACACGGGAAAAACAAUGAAACACAAACAGCGCACAAGAAAAAGGCGAACCAGUCAAGGUCAACGUCGGAACCGAACAGAACGCAAUAUCAGUCAUCCAUAUUCGGCGGCGGCCUUAUCUCAGUGUCAAGGGCGGGGAGACGACCGAUUGUCAUAUUAAUAGCUGGACGGCUGAUAUCGAGAGAGCCAGUCUAAANCAAAAGGCGGUGCCGUGUCAUAAAGUUAAAAAAAAAUAUAUUAGUCAUUUUUCAAAUCCUUUUAUUUUUCUUAAUACGAAUAUUAAUGUUCAAAAAAACAAAAAUUUCCAUUAAUAUUUAAUCAUAAAUUUUUGAUACGCGAAACAAAACAUACGGCUUGACAAAGGUUAUAAAAAAAAUCUCAACAGCCAUUUUAGUGGCAUACUAAGCUCUCAUAAUAAAUUAUAUACACUAUAAGCCACAGAUUUACACAAUUUGUUGUAGAUUUAAAUACUGUAUACUUGGUUUAUUUUAGUUAUAUAUAAACCAAAUAACUAAGGACUAGAAUAAAUAAAAGUCAAGUAAUGUAAAAAAUAUAUAUUUAUUAAAUUAAUUCUGCAUUAGUGAGUGCAGUUUCUUUUCCUAUAGUACUUAAUAUGCUUGAGUAAAAAGUGACAUAAUUGUUCACUCUUAUAAUUUUGUGUUAGAAAAAAAAACUAAUUUUCAUUAUUUUCAUUUAGAUUAUACUAGUUUAAUGCCAAUAUAUAUCUUAAAUCGACGAGAAGUACGUUGUAUAAGCUGCUUCAACAAAAUAAUGGAUGCGAAUCCUUUAAACAAACAUAUAGUGAGACCAUGUGGUCAUGGUUGGUUUUGCAAUAAUUGCAUUUCACAAAACAAAUGUUUAGUAUGUAACGACACGAUUGAAGAUGUAAUAAGUGUAAAUUUAUAAAUAAAUCUAAACAAAAUAUUUUUUAUGUAAAUGAUUUUGAAAUCUGUUAAUGUUAUUUCUUUAAUUAAUAUUAUUUUGAUUCA